rnacentral:rRNA from 1 species
GAUCAUGGCUCAGGAUGAACGCUAGCUACAGGCUAACACAUGCAAGUCGAGGGGCAGCAUUGGAGUAGCAAUACUCAGAUGGCGACCGGCGCACGGGUGGGUAACACGUAUCCAACCUGCCGCUUACUCGGGGAUAGCCUUUCGAAAGAAAGAUUAAUACCCGAUGGUAUAAAGAGUUCGCAUGUUCUCUUUAUUAAAGAAUUUCGGUAAGCGAUGGGGAUGCGUUCCAUUAGAUAGUUGGCGGGGUAACGGCCCACCAAGUCUACGAUGGAUAGGGGUUCUGAGAGGAAGGUCCCCCACAUUGGAACUGAGACACGGUCCAAACUCCUACGGGAGGCAGCAGUGAGGAAUAUUGGUCAAUGGACGAGAGUCUGAACCAGCCAAAGUAGCGUGAAGGAUGACUGCCCUAUGGGUUGUAAACUUCUUUUAUAAGGGAAUAAAGUGAGGGACGUGUCCCUUUUUGUAUGUACCUUAUGAAUAAGGAUCGGCUAACUCCGUGCCAGCCGCCGC